AUGUGGUAUUUCCGCAGGGGAGUUAUGCUAACAAAAGUCAACCUCGCAUAAUGCAACUGGUCAGGAAGUAAGAAGUGUUGUUUUUGUACUCAUGGCGAGACAAUUAAACACCUCUUUCAAUGUAAGUUUGCCUGUUCUACGUGGCCAGCCAUCCAAAUAGCAUCAAAUUUGUAUCCGCCCACAAGUGUUGCCAAUAUUUUUGGUCAUUGGCUGGACAGUAUUUCAAAUAGGUACAAAACGCUAAUAAGGGCGACAUAA
rnacentral:rRNA from 1 species